UAAUGAUUAGUAUGUGGCUUUUUUAUAUCUAGCCGAUUUAUUUUAAAUGCCCCAAUUUAAUUAUUG